GACGAACGCUGGCGGCGCGUUCAACACAUGCAAGCCGAACCGAAAGGCCCUGCUUUUGUGGGUUGCUCGAGUGGCGAACUGGUGAGUAACACGUGAGUAACCUGCCCUUGACUUUGGGAUAACUUCAGGAAACUGGGGCUAAUACCGGAUAGGAGCUCCUGCUGCAUGGUGGGGGUUGGAAAGUUUCGGCGGUUGGGGAUGGACUCGCGGCUUAUCAGCUUGUUGGUGGGGUAGUGGCUUACCAAGGCUUUGACGGGUAGCCGGCCUGAGAGGGUGACCGGCCACAGUGGGACUGAGAUACGGCCCAGACUCCUACGGGAGGCAGCAGUGGGGAAUAUUGCACAAUGGGCGGAAGCCUGAUGCAGCAACGCCGCGUGCGGGAGGACGGCCUUCGGGUUGUAAACCGCUUUCGCCUGGGACGAAGCGUGAGUGACGGUAAUGGGUAAAGAAGCACCGGCUAACUACGUG
rnacentral:rRNA from 1 species